rnacentral:rRNA from 1 species
CCUACGGGAGGCAGCAGUGAGGAAUAUUGGUCAAUGGACGGAAGUCUGAACCAGCCAUGCCGCGUGCAGGAAGACGGCUCUAUGAGUUGUAAACUGCUUUUGUAAAAGGGUAAACCUGAAUACGUGUAUUCAGCUGAAAGUACUGUACGAAUAAGGAUCGGCUAACUCCGUGCCAGCAGCCGCGGUAAUACGGAGGAUCCAAGCGUUAUCCGGAUUUAUUGGGUUUAAAGGGUGCGUAGGCGGAUUGAUAAGUUAGAGGUGAAAUGUCCGAGCUUAACUCGGGAACUGACUCUAAUACUGUUGAUCUAGAGAGUAGAUGCGGUAGGCGGAAUGUAUGGUGUAGCGGGGAAAUGCUUAGAGAUCAUACAGAACACCGAUUGCGAAGGCAGCUUACCAAUCUAUAUCUGACGUUGAGGCACGAAAGCGUGGGGAGCAAACAGGAUUAGAUACCCUAGUAGUC